UGUAUUUGAACUGGUACCCAUCUUGAAGUUGAGGUCUCAAGCAAGGUUGUGUUAUAGACAGAUUUUCACAGCAUUGCUGUGGGGUCUACUGCACUGUUUUCCCUAACUACGUGAGCGGCUUGUUUUAUUGCUGAGCUAAGAAGGGUGGCAGGAAACCUCCACUAUUUGUGUAUCCCAGCCCAUCUUUAAUUGUUUUGUAAGUAGUUCUCCUUACAACGCAUUAUUCAAAGUUUAAAUGGGUUUGGAACAUUCUUUGCUGGGUAACUGGAAAGCUAUUAUUUAUUGCUUCCAGGUGAUUUGUGCUGAUGUGCAUUCAGGGUGGUUUUCUGGCUUCAUCUGAGCCAGUUGAUUUAGAAGUGGGGUUUUGUUUUGCAAGUGAUGUGAGUUUUUCUUUCCAUUUAAUCCUUGAGAUCAGCUAGUGGAUUUUCCAUAGAAAAGGAAAGACAAACUGUCACUGUAUCCUGAGUCUACACACAGAAUAUGCAGUCCAGAAAUAACACACUGCGCUGACUGAUGGAGCGAACACUACGAAUAUUUUCCUUUCCUAGCACAUGUGAUAGUUCUCAGAAAUCCAGCUUUCACUUGGACUACGCCAAGCGCAAAAGGGCUCUUUUCAGUAUGGCGCAUUUCAGGGUUUAAAUAGUCUCCUUGUACUAAGAGUAUAUGCGCGGCUUUUUGCUUUGGUUUACACUUUUAGUACUUUUGCUUCUAUGAUUUUUGAAGUGGCAUGGGGAAUGGAGCAGGCUCGGUUGGUUCACCUGGAAGAGAUGGAGACCAAAGUGAUGCGCUGUGCGACUUGCGCUUCCUUGUCUUUGCAGCUGUGAUCUGCUGCAGUGCCUGCAGCAGGAGGCACGAACCCUCUCCGAGUCUUCUUCCAAGUCAGGCCGUUGAUUUUUUUUUGUCUUUCGUAUUGAAAAGUCAUCUGUAACAUAAUUUUAAUGAUGCACCCUGAACUUCUGGCCAGGUUAGGCUUAAUUUUCAAAGUGGAAGGAAGAGGACUGUGAGAUCCCUCUGGUUUCUCCUGUAUUUCUUCCUUAGAAGCACUGGGACUGUAAGCGAGAGAGGAGCAGCACCCAGGGAAGCUCAAAGCACAGAGGAAGCUUAACCUGAGCAAACUCUUUCAUUACAGAAGCAUCUGACUUUGGUGGGGAAAAUCGCACGUUGCCUUUGAGUAACAAACUUUACAAGAGUGCCAAGUUACUUUAUUAUUUGUAAAGUAGGUGGCUAAGAAUGAAACAGAUGACAUCGCAGAUAAUGUUGGAGAGUUUGUUUGUUUGUUGGCUUGUUUUACCGGAUUGAGGAAGAAAUGAAAACUCCUUUGGUCACUAAAGGAAAUAAAAUAGCCGAGAUAUCUGAAGCUUUGUUCAUAGUCUCAAAUCUAAAAAUACAAUAAACUAAGCAGCACUGCAAACAAACAGAGGUUGAGGCAUCAAUAGCAAACUGAUAACUGGCUUUAUGUCUGAGAUAAUUUAAAUUCUGUGCUGGUUUUAAAAUGAAGGAGUUAGGAGCAUAAGAAAGCUAUUUUGAAAAAUGGGGAGGAAAAAAAAAAAGUCUUGCUUUUCUGGGUAAUACCUUCUAUCUCAAAGCCUAUUCUUUUGUUCCCACUCUCAUGAAGAAAUUAGACGAGUUUAUGGCAGCAGUGUCUGUUCUUGAAAGAUAAGCUUAAUUCUUAGCAUCACAGCUGUAUCUGUGAAGGUCAACAGAGGACGAAGGUCAUGGCUCCAGUAAAGAUACUUCACCGCAUGUUAAAAAACUUGUAAUUCUUUAACUGGUUUCAUUUUAGAAGCUAAGAAAAGAUUCCCCCUCAGCAGGUUAAUGCCAUGCUAGUGUCACUCUAAAAGUAUUUUCUUUGGACCGCAGGCCACUGCUUUAUUUGAAGCUUGUUUAUUUAGCACGUUAGUUUGGGCGAGGAGGAAGAGGGUGUAAGGGGGGACCAGGAGUUGCUGCAUGGGAGCUGAGGUGCCUCGUGCAUCACAGCAAACACCUCCCAGGGAUGCUCCAGGUCUGGCUGCCGCUCUCCUACUCCAGGGACAGGCCCUGUGACAACAGGGUGGGAUUUCAGAUGCAUAACAUUCCAACCUCACCUCCUGAGCAGCCAAAAUCCUCUUGAGGCCCUUCCCUCUUGGUGGAACUUGGCUGUAGCUCUGUGAACAUCUUAAACUAUUUAUUUGUGUAUCACCUGGUUUCGUUGCCAGCCAGAUUUUGUUCCCUCAGCCUAGUUCCCCGCAAAGGCAGUGCCAGUUUGUGUUGGCGCAGGCGAUGCAGGAGCAUCAGAAGCAGCAGAUGGGGGUGGAAAGUGGGAAUGCUUCUUUCCACGGCGGCUGCCUACGCCUUCAAAGUGCUUGAGGAAGCCACAAGCUGGGGAAGCGCUGGUACGCGCGUUCCCAGAGCCGUGUGGUGACCCUUCCUUACAGCCACACUAUGGUAUUUACCUAAAAGGCUUAAUCUGCUGUAUUAUGAACAAUAUUAAGAAGUUGUUCUUUAAGUUGCUCAGACUCCAGCCGCUUUCAGACCAAACAUAGCGCUCAGAGCACUGUUUAUAGCAGUAUUUUAAGAUCUAGAACUUUAUCUUGUUGGUCAUGCGUGUUUGUGACCCUGGACUAUAAAGCGAAAGGGUGCUUUGUCAAUGGUUUCUGAGGAGCCAGGAUUUCGUGCUGAGUUGCUUUACAGCAACGCCAAUUGCAGCCACGAUUUCUGCCAUCCGAUGAUGGCGUCUUCGUGCAAAGACACACAGCUGUGACACAUUCUCCCCUUUAUGUGCAAAGUCAGUCAAGCAGUUAAAAUCCUGAGCUGUUCAGAGUAUUAUUUCAAUGUCUUUUGCAACCUUCAAGGUGAGUGACCCUGCUGCCCGGGCUAAAUUCCAGUUUACAUAAUUAUAACCUGCUAUUCCACUCCCCGAAGAAAUGCUGCGCAGAGGCCGGAGCUGGCGCUUGCCCCGUUCGAUGCGAGCCGGGGCACCCACGGAGCACGGUGCCCUGCACAGAUUCCACGCUGGAGGCGGUGUCAGCUCAGGGAUAACCUGCUUCUGCUGCUGCUGCCAUCGCCAAACCAGACCGCGGCAGAUACUAAAGCCUGCGAACCGUGUAACUCAGAUGAAGGAUGGCUGACUUACCAGUACGUCACGGGUCAGCACUGCUUACUCCCAACAAAUAUCUGCAUUGGUGUUAAAAUGCGAGAAGUCAAACCCUCCAGCAGAGUCAUUCCCAGGGGCUUGCUUUGAGUGCCUCAGGAUGAAGCUUGCUGUUUUCUAUACAUGGAUGGAAGUGACAAGAUUUUGCCUGCUGUAAGAUAUAACGCCCCUCAAAAAAAAAUAAAAAAUAAA